rnacentral:lncRNA from 1 species
GGCUCUCAUCCGGGCCCCUUUUCUCUGCUCGCGUUCGGGCGUGGAGGAAAAGUUCCCGGGGCCUCCGGCUCGGCGACGAAAGUCGGGCAGCUUCCCUGCCUCGCUGCCCUGCCGUGCGAAGGAUCCCGGCGCCGGGUCCUACCCGCAGCGCGCGUGCGUCGCGAGACUCGGGAGGCCGGGUUCGGGCGAGCCAGACCCUGCACCCAGCCGCAGGGGGCUGGCCGGUUGUAGGGCUAGCCUGGCAUGAGGCUGUCGGAUCCGACCACUUCUGUGCUACUACUUUCCGUUACAAACGGAUCCGAUGUGUACAUGCAUUUUUAAGCCUUUGCCUCCUUUCGAAGCCAGUGAGUGACAUUGAAAACAAAUUGUAAGGCUUUUCUUUUUUAAGUAGGAGAUUAAAAACUUACCGUAAAA